UAUUUUCCUUUUUUUCCCUCCGCCGCGGUAAUACGUAGGGAGCAAGCGUUGUCCGGAUUUAAGGGGAGGAAAGGGUGCGUAGGCGGCUUUGCAAGUCAGAUGUGAAAUCUAUGGGCUCAACCCAUAAACUGCAUUUGAAACUGUAGAGCUUGAGUGAAGUAGAGGCAGGCGGAAUUCCCCGUGUAGCGGUGAAAUGCGUAGAGAUGGGGAGGAACACCAGUGGCGAAGGCGGCCUGCUGGGCUUUAACUGACGCUGAGGCACGAAAGCGUGGGUAGCAAACAGG
rnacentral:rRNA from 1 species